UAAAUUUGUUAGUCUCUAAGGUGUCACAAGUACUCCUUUUCUCCAGACCAUACUGUUCUGCAAUUCUUAAAGUAGCACACUGAUCUGAUACUGCCUUGUUAGUAAAACAGGAAAUCUAGGAAUCUGAUACAAGGGGGCAUAAUCUCACCCUCCAUGUAGGAAAAAGGAAGCAUGUCCGUACCUAGCAUCUUUGCACAUUCUGCUGCAAGCUCCUGGACUUAGCUGAAAGUACUUGAGUGCUUGUCCAUAAGUAUUCCACCACUAAGUUCCUUCCCACUACCCACUGCUGCAAGACUGAGCUCCUCAGUGUCUGCAUCUUUAUGCAUCCCUUUUUGCUCUUAGCUGUGUGUGUACUCCCUUCUUUUUCUUCUCUGGGAGUUUCCUGGAAUUGGGACAUAGGGAGGGAUGUUAUUAAGUCUCUUAGGUUUAAGUAUUGCCCCUCUUGGAGGUUGGCAAUUCUGGUAAAUGAUGGGCACAUAACAUGCCAUUUUGUUUAGAAGAAGCACAUCUCUGAUAAAUGUGUGGUGUGUAAUUCCUUUUCUAGAAGAUCCUUGAAAGCUAGAGAGGGACAUUUAAAGAUGAUUUUGUUAGAUCUAUCCAUGCAUCUAAUCCCUGGUCUGGGGAGGGCAGACCCCCUUUGAAAAGUUUCAUCUCUGUACAGGAGUGACCCCUUCAGCUUCAGAUCCAGUAAUUCAGCUCCAAUCUGGAAAGACCCAUGAUGGCUUCAGACAGAGAUAGGGCUGAUAAAACCUAAAUCCUCAGAUAAAGAGUUUUGCUAAUCUGGGAAGAGCAGGGACAAAUCUCAGUGGGAGUUUCCCAGCGAGAAGUGGUCUGUCAUCUCACCUCUUUGGUUCUAAGGGGACUUUAUGGAUUGAUGUGGGUAACCAUUCUGAGGGAGCAUGGUACUGGGGCUUUGGGACUACUUGAAGACUCUCAAUCAGCUGCUGCCAGGGCAUCAGGGAUUACCUGAGCACAGAGUGCUUUGGAGUCGGUUACUAUGGUACAGACCUCAUCAGUACUACUCUCCUAAACACUAUUUGCUUCUACACAGAGUGUCUGUACCAAGUGCAUUGGCAUAGCCAACCCUAAGGUUUGUGGCACUGCCUCUCUCAAUACAAAAAAGCAUGCAGUAACAAUGGACCUUCAGGUCUUAUAAGAGUCAGUCUCCCUUGCUAUCCACUGGACUAAAAAUCCCUCUUGUGGUACUGAUGCCUUUUAUGUCAUUGGCACAGAGUACUGCUCUGGGGCUUAUGUCCUGUAGAAUCCUAGUACUCAGACUUCUGAUGUUUCCCUUCCUCCCCCUCCCUUAGAUUUAGAAUGUUCAUUGUCCUCUUCUGACACUCAAUACAACAGGGAAGACAGGAAAGGCUCUCUUACUUAUUACAAAUCUGAAGGGGAGUAGAGGGCUUCACUUAGGACACAUCAGGUUUGUGAGUAGAUACUUGCCCUGGUGCCCCUUUCUGAUAUAAUGUUAUAACAUGGCUCUAUUGGAAACUGUGGGGUCUUUAAGGUCCUAGAUAUCAUGGCUUUGCAUCUUCUCCUAGAUUGAGAACCUUGUGACACCCUGACACUCCAAUAUUCACCGCUGUCAUGUAAUUAGGGUAUGUUUUGUACAAAGUAUGUCUUGUGAGGUAUCAUUCUAAAAGUCUUGAUCUGCUAAACAUUAAUAUUGUUUGUGUUAUUGUCAUAUUGUCGUAUGGGAAGUUAUGAAGUUUGGCUGUGUAUGUGUUACUGAAACUUAUGGUGAGGUUGAAAACACCCGCAGGCAGCCUUUCAUGUACAACCGUUAAAAAGGCCAAACAAUGUUAAUGGCUUAUUGAGCAAAUGCACACAAGCAUACAGAUUACCCCAGGAACUGUGUACAAUAGAAAUAUCUCAGAGGUAGCACUACACAAUGGUAACUGUUUGAUCCAGGUCACAGCAAAAGAGCUUUCCAGCAAGUGGGAGGAAGAUA